GUCCCGGUAGCUCAGCUGGCAGAGCGCCGUCUCGACACGGCGGAGGUUCGGAGGUUCGACCCCUCCUCGGGACA
rnacentral:tRNA from 1 species